UAGGUCUUUUCCUUUUUUUAACGACGUUAUGGUAAUUUGCUUAAAUAUCGCGUACUUUUGAAAAAAAACUGUUUGUUAUGAAAGUUAGUGAUAAAAGUAUUAAUAUAUUGAAACAGUUUGCAUCACGAGAAAAAGUGGUUUAAUAUCAUUAAAACAGGUUGUAUCACGCGAAGAAGUGGUUUUACGAGAAGCGAAACAGUUUGUAUCAUGCGAAGAAGUGGACGAAAGAUUUAUUUUAGUUACAAUAGUCAACACAAACAAAUCGUUAGUUAUCGGGGUGUCAUUGGUGGUGCCAACAUUAAAGAUAUGACAAGGAGAAUAUUAACAGCUUUGAUGUUUUAGCUGGUGAAUUAAAUUUCAUGGAACAUAGGGAAAAACAUGCCUUUUCAGACCUUAUGGUGCCCCAAGAAAUCCUUACGGUCUUAUCACAGAGCACCGCAGAUGAGCAUUUAAUUGGAAGUUCACGCCUCCUUCCUAACCGAUGUCGCAGAACUUGCCCAGAGGUAGGGUUUGAACCAAAGAUCCUUGGUUCCUGAGUAACGUUACGAAACAAUUUUUUGAUGGUUUACUUCAGUGGCCCAUAAUAUGGAAAUUGUCUGGUGCAAAAGGAAAGCUUCUUUAACGACUAAAGAAAGAUUAGAAGAGGUAGGAAUAAAUUGCACUAUUACUUCUUUUUAUGCAAGAUUUUUGUCUCACCAGCUUCUCUUAGCACUACCUCUAUUGUUAAAAAUACAUCUUUUGCUAGCCCUGCAACUAUUGCUACUACAGCAUCUUUACUAGAUACUACUUUAACAUUUAGUGGUUUUCGACAACACUUUUAUCUCUUGCUGAUCCUGUUAAUACAGCUACUAAUUAUUCAUCUGUUGGCUCUACAUUUACUGCUACUUUGGCAAUCUUGAGUUUACUUCAUGCAUAAAAAAUAUUUUUGAAUAACAAAUUACUAUUUAAACUUUAUAUGAAAUUACGUUGAAAAAAAUUGAAAUUGGUACUACCAAUUCAUUGAGUAACUUAAUUUGUAUAAAACUAUUCUAAAUAUUAUUUGAUUUAUGUUAUUGUAUUUAUAAUAUUUAAGCGAUUUGCAUCCCAUGAACAACGGACCCAUGCAUAGGGCCGUAAAUACGUAGAUCUCCCAUAUAAAGGUUUGAAUCUCCGUUUGUUACCGUUUUUACAAUUAGUUAUAGUGUGAGAAUUUAAAGUUUAAUAAAUGUUUUAUUAUAAAUGUUUUAAUAAUAAGUUUAAUAAAUAAAGUUUAAUAAAUAAAAAAUUGGAGAAAGAUAAUGGAACCCUUAAAACAAUACCUCUCAAUACAUAAGAGAUAGGUAUUACAA